GAUGAACGCUGGCGGCGUGCCUAAUACAUGCAAGUAGAACGCUGAAGGAGGAGCUUGCUCUUCUUGAUGAGUUGCGAACGGGUGAGUAACGCGUAGGUAACCUGCCUGGUAGCGGGGGAUAACUUAUGGAAACGAUAGCUAAUACCGCAUGACAACAGUUAUUGCAUGAUAACUGUUUAAAAGGGGCAACUGCUCCACUACCAGAUGGACCUGCGUUGUAUUAGCUAGUUGGUGAGGUAACGGCUCACCAAGGCGACGAUACAUCUCCUACCUGAGAGGGUGAUCGGCCACACUGGGACUGAGACACGGCCCAGACUCCUACGGGAGGCAGCAGUAGGGAAUCUUCGGCAAUGGACGGAAGUCUGACCGAGCAACGCCGCGUGAGUGAAGAAGGUGUUCGGAUCGUAAAGCUCUGUUGCAAGAGAAGAACGAGGGUGAGAGUGGAAAGUUCACACUGUGACGGUAUCUUACCAGAAAGGGACGGCUAACUACGUG
rnacentral:rRNA from 1 species